UUCAAAGUGUCUAUGUGGAUCAUGCAUGAUCUAUUUCCGAGUAAUCCAGUAGGUUCUUCAAAUCGUCCUGGAGUUCAGAUAAUUUGAUCUACUAGAUCAACCGAGAUUGGGACAAUGUCUUUAGUAUCGAAAUAUUUCCAGACAAAUGCACAGUGUCUAUGUGGAUCAUGCAUGAACUAUUGCCAUGUAUACCAGAUGUUUUAAGUUCUCCAAAUUGUUCUGGAGUUCAGAUGAUUUAUUCUACUAGGUCAACCAUGACUGGGAUAAAGUCUGUAGUAUCGAAAUAUUGUUUGGAUUCAUAGUCUCUAUAUGGAUAAUGUUUAAUUAUUUUCACGUAUACCAGAUGACUAGGUUCUCCAAAUCGUCCUGCACUUCAGAUGAUUUGUUUUACUAGAUCAACAAAAACUAGGAUAAUAUCUGUAGUAUCGAAAUAUCGAUUUGGAAAUCCUAGAGCAUUUGGCAUACACGGAAAUAGGUUGGCAUGAUCCACAUAGUCACUGCAAAUUUGUUUGGGCAUAUUUCGAUACUACAGAUAUUGAAUUAGUCUUGGGUGAUCAAGUAGAAAAAUAAUCUGAUCUCCAGAAUGAUUUCAGAACCUAUAACAUCUUGUAUACGUAGCAAUAGGUUGGGUACAAUCCACAUAGACACUUUGAAUCUGUUUGGACAUAUUUCGAUACUACAGACAUUAUUGCAGUCUUGGUUGAU